rnacentral:rRNA from 1 species
UACGUAGGAGGCAAGCGUUGUCCGGAGUUACUGGGCGUAAAGCGUGUGUAGGCGGUCGGAUGCGUCCGGUGUGAAAUCUCCCGGCUUACCUGGGAGGGGCAUCGGAUACGGUCGGACUUGAGGGCAUCAGAGGCCAGUAGAACUCCCGGUGGACCAGUGAAAUGGGUAGAGAUCGGGAAGAAUACCAGUGGUGCAGACGGCUGGCUGGGUGUACCUGACGCUGAGACACGAAAGCAUGGG